rnacentral:lncRNA from 10 species
ACAAUUGGAUUUUUACCACAAGGAAAAAAGUGAACUUUGAUCCAAACUUUGAUUACAUACAAAAUUUAACCCCAAUGGAUUACAGAUCUAAAUUAAAACUGACCACAUCCACUGAGGGUGUGGAACAAUUGGAACUUUUUUUGACACAGGGUCUCACUCUGUUGCUCAGGCUGGAGUGCAGUGGUGCAAUCUUGUCUCACUGCAAUCUCCACCUCCUAAUUCAAUUGCUGUGCCUCAGCCCCACCCGGAGUAGCUGGGAUUACAGGUGCACCACCACACUUGGCUAAUUUUUUGUAUUUUUGGUAGAGAUGGGGUUUUGCCAUGUUGGCCAGGCGGGUCUCGAACUCCUGGCUUCAUGUGAUCCACUCACCUUGGCCUCCCAAAGUGCUGAGAUUACAGGCGUGAGCCACUGCACCCAGCCUGGAACUCUUACAAACUGCCACUGGGAAUAUAAAAUAGCACAACCACUUUGUAGAACACUAGAAAUUUCUUAAAAACUUAAAACAUAUGAAUCAGACAUUCCACUCCUGUAAUUUACCCAAAAGAAAUGAAACCAUAUGUUCAUACAAAGAUUUGUAUGUGAAUAUUCAUAUUAACUUUAUUUGUAGUAGCUCCAAAUUGGAAACAACACAAGUCCAUCAACAAGUGAAUGGACAGUGUCAGAUCCAUACAAAAUACUACUACUAAGCAAUUUACAGGAAUGUACUGAUAUCUGCAAUAACAUAGAUACAUCUCCAAAUAAUUAUGCUGAGUAGAAGUAAAAUGAAAAGUACAUAUUAUAUGAUUCCAUUUAUAUAAAAUCAUUAAAAAACUAUAAACUAAUCUAUGGUGACCAGUGCUUGUCUGGAGUUGGUGGGUGGUUGGUGUUUGGGGAGGAAAGGAUUACAAAGGAGCAUCUUUUGGGAGGGAUGAAUAUGUAGAUUAUAUCUUGUUACGAUUUCACAAUAAAUAUAUUUGUCAAACACCAAAUUGUACACUUUGAAUAUGUAUAGUUUAUUGUGUCAAAUAUACCUUAAAGCUGUUUAAAAAGUUUAGUAAAGAUCUAUGAAAAGCUAUUUUGUUUCACCAGAGGAAUUAAUCAAACAUAUCUCUCAAUUUACCUCUUUGAAAUUUGGUUUUACACUUUUAGAUGUUAAUAAGUCACUAUAUAAGCUCCCAUUUUGAAAAAGAAAAAUAUAUUUCACUUAAAACUGUGGCCAAAAUUUCCAUGUAAAAACCAUUGCAAAACAAAUCCAAAAUAUUGUUCUGUUUCUCAUAGAGGGCUCAUUCUCAUUUCUACAGUCAAGUAUGUUGAUGCUCAUUUACUUAUGCAAUUAAGCCAGAUAUAAAAAUGUAGGUGCAAGUAUAAACCUGUUAGCCGCCCUUAAGUUUGUUAUCUAGGCCUCUGAAAUCCUAUUGGCUCACUUUAAUAUUUUUCCUAUGCUUUUACUGUUUGCCUCUGGACAAGUUCUGGCAGUGAAUUUUAUGUUUGGUCUUCUGAUCUUCAACUAUCAAAGGGAAGAGAUGAAAAAGAUGGACAAUCUUUUCAAAACUGUUAGCAGUAGGCAAUUCUGUUUAAGAAUGAGCAGUAAUACAUUACAUUAUACAUUUAAGAAUCUUAUUGAAACCUUAAAAAAAUUAUAUUUUUAUUUGACUUCCAAUAAACUAGUUAGCGUUCUAGGCAGCAUACAAAGUUUCUGUUAAAUUUUAAUGGGUGUUAUUUCUAAUAAAAACUAUGUAAAUAUAGAUAAAAUAGAGACAAGCUUAAGAUGACUGACCACAAAAUACUAUUUUUAAAUGCUAACAGGUUAAAUCCAUUCAGGAAAACUUAAAUUCUACUUUUGCUGUUUCUUACUCCCUGAAUGGCACUUUUUUUGCUGGGGGCAGGGAGUAGCAGUAGAUAGUUGCCAUUGUCUCUACCUCCUCAUACUAAUUCUUUUUAAUUAAAAUGUCCAGUAAUGCUCUGAAAAUCAUUUUUGGAACAUUUAACUAUUCAGUAAAAAGAUUAAAAAUGACUUAAUAAGUAUACUUUUCUAAAUGUAAUAAAAAUUAUAUUCUACACUGUACUUUCAUAGCACUUCUAGUUUAACAUGAAAAAUUUCAGGGUGCUUGCUGAAAUGACAAAGCACUUUGGUAUGGCUAUCCUAUGCUAAAAUUCUUUCCUUUGAAAAUUCAAACUCAGUAUUUCUAAAAAAUCAGCAAAAGAAGUACACUAUCUGGUAUUCUCUCUUCAACAGAAGUUCACCUUAUUUAAUCUUGUAUUUCUUCGUAUAAUUGUACAGAUUACAUAAUCAAACUGGGGGGGGGGAUGACAUCUGAACAAGGAAUAUUUGGCUCUUAAUUUUUAGGAUUUUAUUGUAGUUUAUCCCUUAUUAGCGAUAGUUGAUUGAAAUUAAUUGCCAAAUGCCUCUCUGGUGAGUCAUAUUCCGCAAUUUUGAAAUAGGGAGGUCAGCUAACUCUGUGUGGAAGGGAACUGUGCUACCUUUUAAAAGUGUUAUAUUUUACAUUAAUGCAUUCAGAGUGAUUUAAAAGGCAUUCAACAUGAUUAUUCAAUAUCAAGAAUAUUUUGUUAUCUCUAGCUAUAGAAGUCUUUGAGAUUCUCCCUUUCUUUUACAUGCACAUGACACUCACAUGUAAAGAGUGAAAAGUACAUUUAUGUACUUGCCCAGAAGAAACCUUUGAUUUUGUGCAAAUGGAUUAUCAAGAGAACUGAUUCUUUAAAUGAUAUUCACUUGUUCCUUGCAUUCCUGUAUUUUUAGAUAGUAUUAUUUUUGUACAGUAGCAUGCUGUAUAUGAACACAGAGGUAUAUAAUCAUUAGCAUGCUAUAGAACUAUGUUACUGUGAAUCCCCCCACAGCCUUUUAAACAUUAUGAGGUGGUAGUUCACUUUUUCUCAUCUUCUUAUAGACAACUCAUAUGUGUUAAUACUUCUGUCUCUUCUAAUAUUGAUUCUGCUUUCGUUUUUUUAAUAAAGGGUAAACCUUCACCCUUUAUACAAAUUUUUUUUUUUUUUUUUUUUUUUUGAGACGGAGUCUCGCUCUGUCGCCCAGGCCGGACUGCGGACUGCAGUGGCGCAAUCUCGGCUCACUGCAAGCUCCACUUCCUGGGUUCACGCCAUUCUCCUGCCUCAG